UACGAAGGGGGCUAGCGUUGUUCGGAAUUACUGGGCGUAAAGCGCGCGCAGGCGGUCUUCCAAGUCAGUGGUGAAAGCCCGGAGCUCAACUCCGGAACUGCCAUUGAAACUGUAAGACUUGAGGAUGAGAGAGGUGAGUGGAAUUCCCAGUGUAGAGGUGAAAUUCGUAGAUAUCGGGAAGAACACCUGAGGCGAAGGCGGCUGUCUGGCGGUGCACUGACGCUGAGGCGCGAAAGCGUGGGGAGCAAACAGG
rnacentral:rRNA from 1 species